UACAGAGGGUGCAAGCGUUAAUCGGAAUUACUGGGCGUAAAGCGUGCGCAGGCGGUUUUGUAAGACAGGCGUGAAAUCCCCGGGCUCAACCUGGGAACUGCGUUUGUGACUGCAAGGCUAGAGUAUGGCAGAGGGGGGUGGAAUUCCACGUGUAGCAGUGAAAUGCGUAGAGAUGUGGAGGAACACCGAUGGCGAAGGCAGCCCCCUGGGCCAAUACUGACGCUCAUGCACGAAAGCGUGGGUAGCAAAC
rnacentral:rRNA from 1 species